rnacentral:rRNA from 1 species
AUUAGAGUUUGAUCCUGGCUCAGGAUGAACGCUGGCGGUAUGCCUAACACAUGCAAGUCGUACGAGAGUUUUUAACUCUAGUGGCGGACGGGUGAGUAACACGUGAGAAUUUACCUUUAGGAGGGGGAUAACAAUUGGAAACGAAUGCUAAUACCCCAUAUGCUUUUGAGUGAAAUGGAUUUAUAAUUAUCUGCCUAAAGAAAAGCUCGCGGCUGAUUAGCUUGUUGGUAAGGUAAGAGCUUACCAAGGCGACGAUCAGUAUCUGGUUUGAGAGGACGAUCAGACACACUGGAACUGAGACACGGUCCAGACUCCUACGGGAGGCAGCAGUGGGGAAUUUUCCGCAAUGGGCGAAAGCCUGACGGAGCAAUACCGCGUGAGGGAAGACUGCCUAUGGGUUGUAAACCUCUUUUUUCAGGGAGGAAUAAAAUGACGUGUACCUGAAGAAUAAGCAUCGGCUAACUCCGUGCCAGCAGCCGCGGUAAGACGGAGGAUGCAAGUGUUAUCCGGAAUCACUGGGCGUAAAGCGUCUGUAGGUGGUCUAAUAAGUCAACUGUUAAAUCUUGAGGCUCAACUUCAAAACCGCAGUCGAAACUAUUAGACUAGAGUAUAGUAGAGGUAAAGGGAAUUUCCAGU